rnacentral:lncRNA from 1 species
AAAAACACCCCAGCACGCAGCAACCCCUCUCCUCUCGCGAGUGAAAAAAGCCCAUGUAUCCAGGGUUCCCACCGCCGCCACCAGUCGCCGCGAGCCUCCCAGCCGCCGCCGGUGCCCUCCCCGGCUGCCGCCGCCGCCCUCACCGGUCGCCGCCGUCGUCGGUCUGCGUGACAUGGCGGGAGGGUAGGCCAUCCCGUCGCUCCAUUCUCGCCCCACGGCCGGUCGGGCCUACCCGCCGGUCGCCGAUCGCCGCCCGCCGCCCAAGGAUCCAGGCCGAGGCUGCACGGCUCGCUUAUGGCCGCGGCUCGCUUAGGGGCGCCCUCCUCCCAAUUCCCCUUCUCGACUGCAUCUAACGUAUAGGAUUCAUUCAAGGUAACAAAGGCUCAGACUUGACAUUUUUCCUUACGCGUGAAUAUGAUUCCAACGUUGCAGCCCGUCGGAGUUAAUUGGAAAAAAUAUGGCCUGCAAUUCUAAAUGUUUGCUUUGCAAACAAAUAAUGGGAUUUAUUUUUACCUAUUGUACGCUUUGCUCCAUACAAACUCAUGUGCUUUUCCUAAUUGUAGCGAUAUUCUUUUUUGCCUAUUCUAUUCAAUUUUGUACUGUCAGUUUUCUCUUCUGCAGUGUAAUCAGGUUUAAGAAAGCAAGAGGUAGCGGAAGCUGCUGCUAUAAAACUCACUCAAAAAACUGCGAAGUCUGAAUCUGUUUUGCUUUUGAGAGAAUCUUAUGUGUUGGAUGUAAAAUGCCAUAGCUACCUGUAGCUACCUGCGUGAUUCUCAACAUAAUGGGGCUAAAUUGCUGAACACCUUAAGAUAUUCUUUUGUCACAUGAGCGUCUUGGAAAUGGUACGGUGAUUCAAAUGUUGAUAUUCAACAUGUUCUGAUUUGGUCCAGCUUCGCACCUAGAAACUACACGGCCAUAUGUAGCAGAAGACAACUAUCAAUACUUCGCCUCUGUCGCUCUAUUUAAUUUCUGACCAAACUGCUCGAGAAAGCUGGGGCUGCACUGCCCAGGACUGCAGCUGGUGCUGCAUUGUCCAGCAGUGAUACUCGGUCAUCACUGACCGGCCUCUAUGUUAAAGCAUGUGUGUCCUGUAGUGCACAACGGUCUUCACAAGCUAUCAGUACUGUCAGGCCAGCCCUUCUAUGUUAUUUCACUAACACUCACGGGUCCUCCAUAGCGGCUCGUGAGUGAAAGCACCUGCCUUCUCUACAUAAUCAUCAGUGGAUGGUCGUCCAGUCUGUGAUAAUCUCAUCACAGAUGGGUCAACUGGCCCAUGACUGAUGAGGUAGUCAUCAAUAACCAUGAGUAACUGACCGGCUAGAAACUUGUGUGUGAUGACACAUUCUGGCUGAUCAGUGCUAAUAGUGAGACAUCAAUACAAGGCCGCAUUGGCACGACCUAGGCGAAAACCAAACACAAACUUGGUAUAACAAACUAGUUUACUGAUCUAAACACUCUUAUUUAUUUAUUUUGAGGGAAAGCGCUCUUAUAUUUUGUUACGGAAAGAGUAUGUGUCAACUGUUUCUUUGAAGAGGGCCACUUUUUUUUCAAUUACAUCAACUUUUUAACAGAUUUUGUUUCACUUUCUUUUUCUAGUAUUUUUUUACAUGUUCUUCUAUUACUUCCUCCAAUCCACAUUACUUGUCUUUGAUUUGUCUAGAUACGGAUGUAUCUAGAUAUGUUUUAGUGUUCAUAAAUUUGUAUCUAGACAAAUCCAAGACAAGUAAUAUGAAUCAGUGGGAGUAGUAUAGAUUGAAUCCAGACAUGCAUUUUCAUGACAUGAUAACUAACACUGCUGUGGAUGUUGUAAAUAAAAUUCAAAGGCAGUUACAAUAACUAAACACUUGGUACAAAUACUUCAGAUAUGACAGAACAUAAAUGCAAAUCUCAUUAGAAUAUCUAGGCACCGACAAUUCAAUUUUGAACCAACAUAAUCACAAAAAAACCCGGAUUAUUUGAUGAGAUAAAGGAAAACAAACUAUCCUCGAAAACAUACUGUAUGGAUUAUGGAUGUUAUAUAUAUGAUGUAUGGAUUAUGUUAUCUGAUGUAUGAAUGUGUUAUAUGCUGUAUGGAUGUGCUAUGGAUUAUGUUAUAUGAUGUAUGAAUUAUGUUAUAUAGAUUAUGGAUGUUAUAUAUAUAUUGUCUAUUUAUGUUGUUGUCUAGUUAGCAGCCUCUUUGCUGUCAUGUUCAUGACGGCAAAAAAAUGUGGCGCCCCACCAUGUGGUUUGCCGUCUUGUACAAGUUCGACAGACGACAAAAAAUAUGACAUAGUUUGCCAUCUUGUACAGAUCGGCAGACGGCAAAGAUAUGAGGUACUUUGCCGUCUUGUAUGUGUGAUGAAGACGGCAAACAACAAACAGUUUUGCCGUGUGUGCUAUCAGCAAGCAGACGGCCGUCGUCCGUUAGCUAGCCCGUUCCGUCUUCUGAUCAUUUGUUUGUCGUCUACCAGACCAGUUGAUGGCAAAAUAAUUUCACUGACGGCAAACAUUUUGCCGUCUGCUCUCCCGGACGCUGACGGCAAAGAUACCCUUUGCGGGCACGAUGGUGAUACGUCCCAAACCGUAUCUAUAAUUUUUGUUUGUUCUAUGCUCUUUUGGGUUACAUUGUUAUGUGUUUUAUUAUACUUUCAUACCUUUUUACACAUAUUUGGACUAAUCUACUAACUCAGUGCAUCUAGUGUCAGUUUUUGUCUGCUGAUGUCUUUUAAUUGCAGGGACUUUAUCUCAAUUUUUAGAGCCUGAAAAAUCCCAAAUAUAUAUAUAGAAAUCAGUGUGACGGAAACUUCAGGAAGCACCAAGGUGGGCCAGAGGGGAGCCGGGCCUCGCCCAGGCGGCCAUCUGGCGCGGGCCCCCUACUACUUCUUGAGUUUGCGUUGGUUUUUUCCUUGAAGAGGAAAGGGUCAUGCAGCAAAGUAGAGAUAAGCAUUUCCCUCAGUUGAGAACCAAGGUAUCAGUCCAGUAGGAGUAUCAAGAUGAGGCAUCAAUGAACCUGCGCAAAAACAAACAAACUUGCAUCCAACGCGAUAAAGGGCACUACAAGAAAUUCACUCGUUAACGACAAAAAAUUGUGACAGCGGUUUAAUUUGUCAUAGAUCCAUGACCAAAAUUCACAAAUUAGUCAUGGAGGGUGUGGAAGGGUCCAAACCCUAUAAUCUUUUGACCAUUCAUGCCUAAAAGGUCGUUACCUGAACGCAUAGAAUGGUCAUAAAGAUGUGAAUGGUGCAUGCUAGCUUAUUUUAGUUUCAUCUUGACUAAAAUAUAUCGUCAUAGAAACUAGAUGAGGGUGAUUGGAUGACAACUCAUCAAUUUUGUCUACGUGGCGUGCCUA